rnacentral:rRNA from 1 species
UACGUAGGUGGCGAGCGUUGUCCGGAUUUACUGGGCGUAAAGAGCGCGCAGGCGGUCGGAUCAGUCGAAUGUGAAAGCCCCCGGCUUAACUGGGGAGGGUCAUUCGAUACUGUUCGACUCGAAGGCAGGAGAGGGAAGUGGAAUUCCCGGUGUAGUGGUGAAAUGCGUAGAUAUCGGGAGGAACACCAGUGGCGAAGGCGGUUCUCUGGGCAUUACCUGACGCUGAGGAGCGAAAGUGUGGGGAGCGAACAGG